AUCAAUAGUGACAGCCAUGUCACUCACAAUAAUCAGGGCAGAGUGAGAUGGCCCAUGAUCCUGAGUGACAGCCUGUGGAGGUGCCUCUUACCAGUGGGAAUGUUCUGCCGCCCUUGAGGGGGAGAGAGAGAGGCUGAGGAAGAAUGAAGAGAGAGUGUCCUCUGCGAGCAGCUGCCUCGUGCCAUCUGAGGAACAGCUACAGUGUGACAUCUGGAGACAUCAAAGGCUAGAAGCUAUUUCCUAAAGCAGAAUACCGAGGGGACAAGGGCAGGACACUCCAUCUUCCCCACUGCCCUCACCCGCUCCUGCUGACCACAGUGGAAGACUUGAUGAGGAUGCCAGAGCAACAAGCUACUCAGAUCUCACCAGAAGAUACUCUGCGGUGUGAGAUAGCCUGGUGUAUCCUUGUCUGGCCUGUCCUUCCUGCUGUGCCCAGCCCAUUGGGCUAGACCAAGGUCUCUGACCUACCAAGUCACAAGGUGGCACCUCUUCCCUGACUGGGAUGGCAGAUUCCAUUUCUGGCUUGUCUGUGUCUCAUUUUCAGAAACCACCCCCCGGGGGAGCUUGUUAAAAGGCCAUUGGCAUCCCCAGGAGGGGCCCAAUUUGCCUUUAUGAAUGAACCGUUCCUGAGAAAUCAAUGAACAUGUCACUCAGGUCAAGUAAACAAAUGUGCUUUUUCCUUGGGGCCUGGAAUCAGGCUUCGAGCCUCCCAGUGGGCGGUGGGUUCUGAGAAGUGCUUUGUCUGGGCUGAGGAUGGCUUUGGGUUAGCACUCCCAGCAGAGCCAGGGCAUCCCAGAGCGCACACUCAUAGGUCCUUGUUCCCACCCCAGCGGGAAGGGCAAAGAACAGCAUCUCUGGGCUUUUUUUUUUUUUAAGAUUUUAUUUAUUUAUUAUGUAUACAAUAUUAUGCUUCCAUGUAUAUCUGUACACCAGAAGAGGGCACCAGAUCUCAUAACAGAUGGUUGUGAGCCACCAUGUGGUUGCUGGGAAUUGAACUCAGGAUCUCUGGAAGAGCAGUCAGUGCUCUUAACCUCGGAGCCAUCUCUCCAGCCCCAUCUCUGGGCUUUUUAUGGUCAGAAAAGAGCUCAGAAUUAAAAAAAAAAAAAAAAAAAAAAGCUCAGAAAAAUCUUUUUUCUUCUUUUUUUUUGGGGGGGGGAGGGCGCGUUCGAUACAGGGUUUCUCUGUGGCUUUGGAGGUUGUCCUGGAACUAGCUCUUGUUUGACCAGGCUGGUUUCAAACUCAGAGAGAUCCACCUGCCUCUGCCUCCCGAGUGCUGGGAUUAAAGGCGUGCGCAACCACUACUCAG
rnacentral:lncRNA from 1 species